UGGCGGACGGGUGAGUAACACGUGAGCAACCUGCCCCGAAGACUGGGAUAACACCGGGAAACCGGUGCUAAUACCGGAUGCCUUCACCAUGUCGCAUGGCGAGGUGAAGAAAUGGAUUCCGCUUCGGGAUGGGCUCGCGGCCUAUCAGCUUGUUGGUGGGGUAAUGGCCUACCAAGGCAACGACGGGUAGCUGGUCUGAGAGGAUGUCCAGCCACACUGGGACUGAGACACGGCCCAGACUCCUACGGGAGGCAGCAGUUAGGAAUCUUGCGCAAUGGGCGAAAGCCUGACGCAGCGAUGCCGCGUGCGGGAUGAAGGCCUUCGGGUCGUAAACCGCUUUCAGCAGGGACGAUAAUGACGGUACCUGCAGAAGAAGCCCCGGCCAACUACGUGCCAGCAGCCGCGGUAAU
rnacentral:rRNA from 1 species